GACAGAGGGUGCAAACGUUGUUCGGAAUUACUGGGCGUAAAGCGCGUGUAGGCGGCUUUGCAAGUCGGGUGUGAAAGCCCUCAGCUCAACUGAGGAAGUGCGCCCGAAACUGCAGAGCUUGAGUGCCGGAGAGGGUGGCGGAAUUCCCCAAGUAGAGGUGAAAUUCGUAGAUAUGGGGGAGGAACACCGGUGGCGAAGGCGGCCACCUGGACGGUAACUGACGCUGAGACGCGAAAGCGUGGGGAGCAAACAGG
rnacentral:rRNA from 1 species